AGGAUGAACGCUAGCGGCAGGCCUAAUACAUGCAAGUCGAGGGGUAAGGCUCAUUUCGGUGAGUACACGACCGGCGCACGGGUGCGUAACGCGUAUGCAACCUACCUUUAACAGGGGGAUAGCCCCGAGAAAUCGGGAUUAAUACCCCAUAACACUAUGAAGUGGCAUCACUUUAUAUUUAAAACUCUGGUGGUUAAAGAUGGGCAUGCGUGACAUUAGCUAGUUGGUGAGGUAACGGCUCACCAAGGCUACGAUGUCUAGGGGUUCUGAGAGGAUGAUCCCCCACACUGGUACUGAGACACGGACCAGACUCCUACGGGAGGCAGCAGUGAGGAAUAUUGGUCAAUGGACGCAAGUCUGAACCAGCCAUGCCGCGUGCAGGAAGACAGCCUUAUGGGUUGUAAACUGCUUUUAUACAGGAAUAAACCAUCCUACUUGUAGGGUGCUGAAGGUACUGUAAGAAUAAGCACCGGCUAACUCCGUGCCAGCAGCCGCGGUAAUACGGAGGGUGCAAGCGUUAUCCGGAUUUAUUGGGUUUAAAGGGUGCGCAGGCGGACCUAUUAGUCAGUGGUGAAAUCCCGAGGCUCAACCUCGGAACUGCCAUUGAUACUGUAGGUCUUGAGUUUGGUUGAAGUGGGCGGAAUGUAGCAUGUAGCGGUGAAAUGCAUAGAUAUGCUACAGAACACCGAUCGCGAAGGCAGCUCACUAAACCAAAACUGACGCUCAGGCACGAAAGCGUGGGUAGCGAACAGGAUUAGAUACCCUGGUAGUCCACGCCGUAAACGAUGAUCACUCGUUGUUGGCGAUACACAGUCAGCGACCAAGCGAAAGCGAUAAGUGAUCCACCUGGGGAGUACGUUCGCAAGAAUGAAACUCAAAGGAAUUGACGGGGGCCCGCACAAGCGGUGGAGCAUGUGGUUUAAUUCGAUGAUACGCGAGGAACCUUACCUGGGCUCAAAUGUAAGUUGACGUAUUGGGAAA
rnacentral:rRNA from 1 species